AUUGAACGCUGGCGGAAUGCUUUACACAUGCAAGUCGAGCGGCAGCGCGGCCUUCGGGCUGGCGGCGAGCGGCGAACGGGUGAGUAAUGCAUCGGAACAUGCCCAGUCGUGGGGGAUAACACUUCGAAAGAAGUGCUAAUACCGCAUACGUCCUGAGGGGGAAAGCGGGGGAUCGCAAGACCUCGCGCGAUUGGAGUGGCCGAUGUCAGAUUAGCUAGUUGGUGGGGUAAAGGCCUACCAGGGCGACGAUCUGUAGCUGGUCUGAGAGGAUGAUCAGCCACACUGGGACUGAGACACGGCCCAGACUCCUACGGGAGGCAGCAGUGGGGAAUUUUGGACAAUGGGGGCAACCCUGAUCCAGCCAUUCCGCGUGAGUGAAGAAGGCCUUCGGGUUGUAAAGCUCUUUCGGCAGGAACGAAACGGUGGGCUCUAACAUAGUCCGCUAAUGACGGUACCUGAAGAAGAAGCACCGGCUAACUACGUG
rnacentral:rRNA from 1 species